CUCAGACUUCACACCAAGAUUGCAUCUUUUCUUCAUGGGUUUGUAGGAAUUGGCCUUAUUGUUGAGAAAAAGACAAGUGUCAGUUGGUUUGUUGAGGGGUCUAAGACCUUGGAAUGUUGGUGCAGAGAAAAAAGCAGAAGCCAUGAUUUACAGCAGAGCUUUUUCUGGAGAUUGGAAAAGUUAAAGAUGAGGUUUAUAGUCUAGGAAAGGCUUUGGGAGAAAAGAAAUAGAUUUUGUUAGGAUAAGAAUGAGGCAAAGAAAGAUUUUGGAUGGUGAGAUGGCUUUGCUUCAUUGGUUCUUCUUGGAUCACGGAUUCUUGCCCCAAACAUUUUCCAAGAAUUUGAAUCACAAAGGUUGUCCGGGUUUGUAGGAAUUGGCCAUAUUGUUGAGAAUAACACAAGAAUCAGUUGGUUUGUUGAGAGGUUUAAGACCUUGGAAUGUUGGUGCAGAGAACAAAGCAGAAGCCAUGAUUACAGCAAAGUGUUUUUGGAGAAGAAGAAUUGAUCUUUAAUUGGAUGUAUCAGUGGAUAUUGGAAAUU
rnacentral:lncRNA from 1 species